rnacentral:lncRNA from 1 species
CAAGUCACCUCCUCCUCCAUCUCCAGUUUACAUAUACAAGUCACCACCUCCUCCAUCACCUACUUAUGUUUACAAGUCACCACCACCACCAGUGAAGUCACCUCCCUAUUACUAUCAAUCUCCACCUCCACCAUCACCAAAACCUCAGCCUCCUUAUUAUUAUCACUCUCCACCUCCUCCAACACCAGUUGUUAAGCCACCAUACUACUACCAAUCUCCACCUCCUCCAUCUCCAAAACCUAAGCCUCCAUACUACUACCAAUCUCCUCCUCCUCCAUCACCAAAACCUAAACCUCCUUACUACUACCAAUCUCCACCUCCUCCAUCACCAAAACCUCAGCCUCCAUACUACUAUCAAUCUCCACCUCCUCCAACACCAGUUGUGAAGCCACCAUACUACUACCAAUCUCCACCUCCUCCAUCACCAAAACCUCAGCCUCCUUACUAUUACCAAUCUCCACCUCCUCCAACACCAGUUGUUAAGCCACCAUACUACUAUAAAUCUCCACCUCCCCCAUCACCCUCUCCUCCACCACCAUACUACUACAAAUCUCCACCACCACCAUCCCCAUCACCGCCACCUCCAUACUACUAUAAAUCUCCACCUCCACCAUCACCGGUUGUUAAGCCACCAUACUACUAUAAAUCCCCACCUCCCCCAUCACCCUCUCCUCCCCCUCCAUACUACUAUAAAUCUCCACCUCCAUACUACUACCACUCUCCACCUCCACCAUCACCAGUUGUUAAGCCACCAUACUACUACAAAUCUCCACCUCCACCAUCACCCUCACCUCCCCCUCCAUACUACUAUAAAUCUCCACCCCCACCUUCACCAUCCCCUCCUCCUCCAUACUAUUAUAAAUCACCACCACCACCAUCCCCAUCACCGCCACCUCCAUACUAUUACAAAUCCCCUCCACCUCCAUCCCCAUCUCCACCGCCUCCUUAUUACUAUCACAGUCCUCCUCCACCAUCUCCCACUCCUCAUCCUCCCUACUACUACAAAUCCCCUCCACCACCAACGUCCUAUCCUCCACCUCCUUACCACUAUGUGAGCCCUCCACCACCUUCUCCAUCUCCACCUCCACCAUACUAUUACAAAUCACCACCUCCUCCCUCCCCAGCCCCCGCUCCAAAGUACAUUUACAAAUCAC